AAUGGGCGCAAGCCUGACGGAGCAAGACCGCGUGAGGGAAGAAGGUCUGUGGAUUGUAAACCUCUUUUGAUAGGGAAGAAGACAGUGACGGUACCUAUCGAAUCAGCCUCGGCUAACUCCGUGCCAGCAGCCGCGGUAAUACGGAGGAGGCAAGCGUUAUCCGGAAUUAUUGGGCGUAAAGAGUCCGUAGGUGGGUAACCAAGUCAGCUGUUAAAUAGUGAAGCUUAACUUCAUAGAGGCGGUUGAAACUGGUUGUCUAGAGUGUGGUAGGGGUAGAGGGAAUUUCCAGUGUAGCGGUGAAAUGCGUAGAUAUUGGAAAGAACACCGGUGGCGAAAGCGCUCUACUGGGCCUGCACUGACACUGAGGGACGAAAGCUAGGGGAGCGAAAGGGAUUAGAUAC
rnacentral:rRNA from 1 species